rnacentral:misc_RNA from 1 species
AGGAGACUUAAAACUCUAUAAAUAGCCUCAUCUAUGUAAUUUCAGUUUUGGAGAUUAGAUUAAUAUAAUUCUAAAGAGAUUUUCCUCUCUAAUUUUCACUCUUGUGUGGGUGUGUGUUAUCUUUAAUUUUCACACUGCAUCAAAAUAUCUUUUGUUGGCAAUCGUUUUUCAACCAAGGGUAAAGAAAAUGGCAUCGCCAACAAUAAGGGGAGGUGUGAUGGUUGGCUGGAGAUGAUUUUCCACUCUCUCCUUGCAGCUACAGAACCCAGGUUCCACCCAAAAACUCUGCCUUUUUCAAACCCUAGAAUUUCCCACUUUUUUCAUAUUUUGGUUCAAUAAGAGAGAGAAACACUGGAAAUUAGUUUAGCAGCUCCCAAUACAAGAAUUUUACAUUAAAAUAAUAUGUAAAUACCACAUCAGCUCUCCAUUGCUCUUACAACUGGAAUUCUGUCAAUAUUGCUUUAUUAGAACACAAAUUAAAGUUUAGUGAUAAAAUUGCAAUAAAUUGAUCUUUUGUGACCAUAAUAAAAUUCAGGGGCUAGUUUCGUGACCAUUUGUACAAUUUACCCCCAGUUUUCAAGAUAACCAAAAAAAUUUAUGGUCAAGAAAUCGAGAUAAUGAUGAAUAAAUGUACUCAGAUGGUGAUUACACAACAAGAAGAAGUCAAUAACUAAGUCUUAAUCUCAAACUAG